UGACACCCUGUUUGAUGUUCAGAAGGGCCCAGCUCCUGUAACGGGAAGGUGUUAGUCCUGACAAGGAAGCCUGGCACAGAGGCCCCUGUGUUUCUGCCGGCCGUCCCCCUCUCAGAAGCGGAUCAGGGAGGUGGUGUGGUUCACACAGUGUUUCUGCAGCCUCGAUCUCCAGUUCAUGAGAGGAAAAUGCCACCACCUGUGUGCAGAUGGUGAGGGGACAGCCUGACCCGCCACACCUGUGCUGUUUGCCCAGAGCUCCCCAGGCCUGGGGAGCCCAAGAGGCAGCUGAGAUCAAGGCUCGUUAGUCUCAAGCCAAGGAAAGGAUCCUGUGUUGCUGUGGGAGGCAAAUGGAUGUAUUGUGUUGGGGCUUAUCCACAGAGGACUGUGAAACUACAAAUUACAAUCCAGCUGCAUUUUCUUAUCUGGAUUUUUUCCCCAUGUGCCCGUGAGUCCUCCCCUCUACACAAGUAGAAGGUGCAAAGAGAAACUUGAGUGAGAAAGCAGAGAUGUAAGCCCAAAGGGACCCUGAUGGCACAGAAGAUCCUGUCUGUGUCUGUGGGUGCUGGGUUUCAAUGGGAUGGUGUGGCUGGUGCCUCUCUGGGACUGGAUGGAGCUACCAUGUUUUACAUUCACAGAGGAUGUGACGUCUCUGAAUUUAGUUGUUUCUUUUUUUUUUUUUUUUUUUUUUUUUCUUUUGUGACUGCCUGGAGACUUUGUUUCUGUAACUGUCCUUAAUAAAAAUAAAUCAAGGCAGCCAGAGGUAACAGUCAAUACAUCUGCUGCAAGUCUCUCCACCCAGGAGGAAGGGAAAGAAGAGGGCUACCCUUUCUCUUGCUAAUUAUGGCAGUGAAAUAGGGGAUCCACCCACUCAACUUCCUCAGCUGUUCUCCAUCCUCACCCCCCUUCCUUGAAGGGAGUAUGCCACCAGCAGGCCCCCAGGGGCGAGACAGCACUCAGCAGGAGUUU